ACACAUGCAGUCGAACGAUGAUGCCCAGCUUGCUGGGUGGAUUAGUGGCGAACGGGUGAGUAACACGUGAGUAACCUGCCCCUGACUCUGGGAUAAGCGUUGGAAACGACGUCUAAUACUGGAUAUGAUCACUGGCCGCAUGGUCUGGUGGUGGAAAGANUUUUUGGUUGGGGAUGGACUCGCGGCCUAUCAGCUUGUUGGUGAGGUAAUGGCUCACCAAGGCGACGACGGGUAGCCGGCCUGAGAGGGUGACCGGCCACACUGGGACUGAGACACGGCCCAGACUCCUACGGGAGGCAGCAGUGGGGAAUAUUGCACAAUGGGCGAAAGCCUGAUGCAGCAACGCCGCGUGAGGGAUGACGGCCUUCGGGUUGUAAACCUCUUUUAGUAGGGAAGAAGCGAAAGUGACGGUACCUGCAGAAAAAGCACCGGCUAACUACGUGCCAGCAGCCGCGGUAAUACGUAGGGUGCAAGCGUUGUCCGGAAUUAUUGGGCGUAAAGAGCUCGUAGGCGGUUUGUCGCGUCUGCUGUGAAAUCCCGAGGCUCAACCUCGGGCUUGCAGUGGGUACGGGCAGACUAGAGUGCGGUAGGGGAGAUUGGAAUUCCUGGUGUAGCGGUGGAAUGCGCAGAUAUCAGGAGGAACACCGAUGGCGAAGGCAGAUCUCUGGGCCGUAACUGACGCUGAGGAGCGAAAGCAUGGGGAGCGAACAGGAUUAGAUACCCUGGUAGUCCAUGCCGUAAACGUUGGGCGCUAGAUGUAGGGACCUUUCCACGGUUUCUGUGUCGUAGCUAACGCAUUAAGCG
rnacentral:rRNA from 1 species